AAUACCGCAUGAGAUCGAGAGAUGAAAGCAGGGGCCGCAAGGCCUUGCGCGAGAGGAGCGGCCGAUGCCGGAUUAGCUAGUUGGUGGGGUAACGGCCCACCAAGGCGACGAUCCGUAGCUGGUCUGAGAGGACGACCAGCCACACUGGGACUGAGACACGGCCCAGACUCCUACGGGAGGCAGCAGUGGGGAAUUUUGGACAAUGGGGGCAACCCUGAUCCAGCCAUGCCGCGUGUGUGAAGAAGGCCUUCGGGUUGUAAAGCACUUUCGGACGGAACGAAAUCGCGCGGGUGAAUAUCCCGCGUGGAUGACGGUACCGUAAGAAGAAGCACCGGCUAACUACGUGCCAGCAGCCGCGGUAAUACGUAGGGUGCGAGCGUUAAUCGGAAUUACUGGGCGUAAAGUGUGCGCAGGUGGCCUC
rnacentral:rRNA from 1 species